rnacentral:rRNA from 1 species
UACGACUGCUAAGACUGGAUAGGAGACAAGAAGGCAUCUUCUUGUUUUUAAAAGACCUAGCAAUAGGUAUGCUUAGGGAGGAGCUUGCGUCACAUUGGUUAGUUGGUGGGGUAAAGGCCUACCAAGACUAUGAUGUGUAGCCGAGCUGAGAGGUUGAACGGCCACAUUGGGACUGAGACACGGCCCAAACUCCUACGGGAGGCAGCAGUAGGGAAUUUUCGGCAAUGGAGGAAACUCUGACCGAGCAACGCCGCGUGAACGAUGAAGUAUUUCGGUACGUAAAGUUCUUUUAUUAGGGAAGAAUAAAUGAUGGAAAAAUCAUUCUGACGGUACCUAAUGAAUAAGCCCCGGCUAACUAUGUGCCAGCAGCCGCGGUAAUACAUAGGGGGCAAGCGUUAUCCGGAAUUAUUGGGCAUAAAGGGUGCGUAGGCGGUUAAAUAAGUUUAUGGUCUAAGUGCAAUGCUCAACAUUGUGAUGCUAUAAAAACUGUUUAGCUAGAGUAAGAUAGAGGCAAGUGGAAUUCCAUGUGUAGUGGUAAAAUGCGUAAAUAUAUGGAGGAACACCAGUAGCGAAGGCGGCUUGCUGGGUCUUUACUGACGCUGAGGCACGAAAGCGUGGGGAGCAAACAGGAUUAGAUACCCUGGUAGUCCACGCCGUAAACGAUGAGUACUAAAUGUUGGGUAAAACCAGUGUUGAAGUUAACACAUUAAGUACUCCGCCUGAGUAGUACGUACGCAAGUAUGAAACACAAAGGAAUUGACGGGAGUCCGCACAAGCGGUGGAUCAUGUUGUUUAAUUCGAAGGUACCCGAAAAACCUCAUCAGGUCUUGACAUGCUUCUGCAAAGCUGUAGAAACACAGUGGAGGUUAUCAGUUGCACAGGUGGUGCAUGGUUGUCGUCAGCUCGUGUCGUGAGAUGUUGGGUUAAGUCCCGCAACGAGCGCAACCCUUAUUGUUAGUUACCAGCACGUAAUGGUGGGGACUUUAGCAAGACUGCCAGUGAUAAAUUGGAGGAAGGUGGGGACGACGUCAAAUCAUCAUGCCCCUUACGACCUGGGCUUCAAACGUGAUACAAUGGCUGUUACAAAGGGUAGCUGAAGCGCAAGUUUUUGGCGAAUCUCAAAAAAACAGUCUCAGUUCGGAUUGAAGUCUGCAACUCGACUUCAUGAAGUUGGAAUCGCUAGUAAUCGCGAAUCAGCAUGUCGCGGUGAAUACGUUCGCGGGGUUUGUACACACCGCCCGUCA